rnacentral:rRNA from 1 species
UACAUGGGGUGCAACCGUUGCUCGGAAUUAUUGGGCGUAAAGCGCGCGUAGGCGGUUACUCAAGUCGGAUGUGAAAGCCCUCGGCUUAACUGAGGAAGUGCACCCGAAACUGAGUAGCUAGAGUACUAAAGAGGGUCGCGGAAUUCCCGGUGUAGAGGUGAAAUUCGUAGAUAUUCGGAGGAACACCAGUGGCGAAGGCGGCUCACUGGUCCAUUACUGACGCUGAGGUGCGAAAGCGUGGGGAGCAAACAGG